ensembl:snoRNA LOC120097985 small nucleolar RNA SNORA48
UUCCCCCAUGGACAAAAGGAUCACCUUGUUUGUGGUGAUGUUCUUGUAUCUGUCCAGGGCAGAGCAGAUGCCAGUUCUUUGUUUGUCCUAGCUUGAUGCCUGAUUUGGUGACCAAAGCUGUUUUAUGCCUACGGCACAUAA